UCGCCUUCUUUUCGGCUUUGGUUGGAUGCCCACUCAUCAAAGGCAAAGCCCGAAAGACGUCAAAGGCAAGAACGAGCCUCCAAUUCCAUUUUAUCCCUUUUGUUUCUCCUUUUCUUUCUCUCUCUUUCUUUGACGGUUUGACCUCCCUCUUUUGUUUCUUCUAUCCCUCUUUCCAGCAAUUUGCUGGGAGACGGCUGCAUGUUGCUGCAGAAUCCAAUCCCCCAACGUUCGGGCCACAACACUCGCUGUCCCGCUCGCAUAUCCAGUCCAAGAACAGUGCAGUGCGGUGCGUCCAUGAUGGCAAAACUGGUGGCACCAUUUUUGCUGGAUCGGCCAUGCGUGUUGAGUUCGAUCGUGUUCUCCAGCCGGCAGAGAGCAGAGCACCGACGGUCGACCCCGACGCCCAGCUCGCCCGUGCAACUUGGAACGUGGGGUGCCGUCUCAUCUGUGACUGACUGUGCUGCAUGGGGGGCGGAUAGCUAGAGUGGAUGGACCUCAC
rnacentral:lncRNA from 1 species